rnacentral:sRNA from 1 species
CGAUCUGCUGGGGACUGAUGAAAUGAAUGUGGGUAUCAAUACCGCCGGCAGUGACAAUCAUCCCUUCUCCUGCCAGGGCCUCGGUGGAAGCCCCCACCGUCAUGCCAGGCGUCACCCCAUCCAUGAUAUCCGGGUUUCCGGCCUUUCCGAUUCCUUUGAUCCUGCCGUCCUUGAUCCCGAUAUCUGCUUUUAUGAUCCCUGUAUAAUCCACAAUCAGGGCAUUGGUGAUCACCAGAUCCAGAUCUCCGUCCCGGCUGCAGGUUUUCACAGACUGUCCCAUGCCGUCCCG